rnacentral:rRNA from 1 species
GACGAACGCUGGCGGCGUGCCUAAUACAUGCAAGUUGAGCGCUGAAGGUUGGUACUUGUACCAACUGGAUGAGCAGCGAACGGGUGAGUAACGCGUGGGGAAUCUGCCUUUGAGCGGGGGACAACAUUUGGAAACGAAUGCUAAUACCGCAUAAAAACUUUAAACACAAGGUUUAAGUUUGAAAGAUGCAAUUGCAUCACUCAAAGAUGAUCCCGCGUUGUAUUAGCUAGUUGGUGAGGUAAAGGCUCACCAAGGCGAUGAUACAUAGCCGACCUGAGAGGGUGGUCGGCCACAUUGGGACUGAGACACGGCCCAAACGCCUACGGGAGGCAGCAGUAGGGAAUCUUCGGCAAUGGACGAAAGUCUGACCGAGCAACGCCGCGGGAGUGAGGAAGGUUUUCGGAUCGUAAAACUCUGUUGGUAGAGAAGAACGUUGGUGAGAGUGGAAAGCUCAUCAAGUGACGGUAACUACCCAGAAAGGAACGGCUAACUACGUG